rnacentral:lncRNA from 1 species
GGGCUGGCGGGCUGGCGGCAGUCGCUACUUGCCUAGUAGCCUCAGCCGCUGUGGGCUCCUGGGGAGAUGGAGGGGCCGGGGCUGGGCUCGCAGCCCUGGCGUCUUAGCACCCGCCUUCACCCCACCCAGUCCAGUUUUCGCUCCUGUUUCCGCAUCCUUGCUUACUCCUUGAAAUAAUUAAGGCUGCUUGUUUAGGAUGGAGGAAAGGGGCGUGGAGAGGGGAGGUACACCACAGCGAUCUGCAGAAUCUCAAAGGACAAUAUUCCGUGGAGGAGGUGUUAUAUAAAAGCCAGACGGAGGUCCAAAGAAGCCAGGCGGGCCAGUCGGAGAAGUUACAGGAGUAAUGUGAAGACCUCACCUAUAUAUACUGCUUUGCAGUUUGCAAAAUACUUCCCCAUUUUUGAUCCUCACUAUAAUCCUCUGAGGUGGGGAG